GAUGAACGCUGGCGGCGUGCCUAAUACAUGCAAGUCGAGCGAACAGAUGAGGAGCUUGCUCCUCUGACGAUAGCCGCGCACGGGUGAGUAACACGUGGAUAACCUACCUAUAAGACUGGGAUAACUUCGGGAAACCGGAGCUAAUACCGGAUAAUAUAUUGAACCGCAUGGUGCAAUAGUGAAAGACGGUUGUGCUGUCACUUAUAGAUGGAUCCCGGCCGCAUUAGCUAGUUGUUAAGGUAACGGCUUACCAAGGCAACGAUGCGUAGCCGACCUGAGAGGGUGGUCGCCCGCACUAGAGCUGAGACGCGGUCAAGACUCCUACGGGAGGCAGCAGUCGCGUAUGUUCCGCAGUGGGCGAGAGCCUGACGGAGCAACCGCGAGUGAGUGAUGAAGGUGUUCGGAUCGUAAAGAUCGGUUAUUAGGGAAGAACAGAUGUGUAAGUAGCUAUGCACGUCUUGACGGUACCUAAUCAGAAAGCCACGGCUAACUACGUG
rnacentral:rRNA from 1 species